CCUACGGGGUGCUGCAGUGAGGAAUAUUGGUCAAUGGGCGUAAGCCUGAACCAGCCAAGUCGCGUGAGGGAUGAAGGUUCUAUGGAUCGUAAACCUCUUUUAUAAGGGAAUAAAGUGCGGGACGUGUCCCGUUUUGUAUGUACCUUAUGAAUAAGGAUCGGCUAACUCCGUGCCAGCAGCCGCGGUAAUACGGAGGAUCCGAGCGUUAUCCGGAUUUAUUGGGUUUAAAGGGUGCGUAGGCGGCCUUUUAAGUCAGCGGUGAAAGGCUGUGGCUCAACCAUAGAAUUGCCGUUGAAAAUGGCAGGCUUGAGUAUGUUUGAGGCAGGCGGAAUGCGUGGUGUAGCGGUGAAAUGCUUAGAUAUCACGCAGAACCCCGAUUGCGAAGGCAGCCUGCCAAGCCAUGACUGACGCUGAUGCACGAAAGCGUGGGGAUCAAACAGGAUUAGAUACCCGAGUAGUC
rnacentral:rRNA from 1 species